rnacentral:rRNA from 1 species
AUGUUUUUUACAUCGCAGGAAAUCAAUACCAAACGGAGUUCAAACACAGAGAAACUUUUUGAGGAUUUAUUUUGGGCCAAAAGACAUCCAGUAGGCUAG